GUUGAACUCAACUUACAGUAGAGUUCAAUCCAUUUCUACUUGGAGUGUUGGCUCUGCCACCACCACCGCCGCACAAUAUCGGAGGAAAUACCGGGGCAAAAUCCAAGUGGACUUUCAUUGAACUGAGACACAGUGUGUUUCAGUUCAGCACUUGGACAAGAUGAAAAGGGGUUUAUUUAUGUAAAAUUUAUGAUAUCGUGUAAAUCCUAGACAUUAUAUUACCAUAAAUACAAAAGAUUCAAAUAAGCAUGGGACCCACAAUUACAAUUUACAAGAUGAUGAGCAGGUAUCCAAGUUUGCAGGCAAAUAGUCUCAGGUUGACUCGUAUCACGUACGUGAGAACUAAAGCAGAGGCAGAGAAGACGAGGAAAUAUACGCACACUUUUUGCUCUUCAUUCAUCUGUCGUUGUUUGGUAGGGCUGGCGAGAACACGUUUUUCAUCCUCAACGUUGUCGCGAUAAACUUCCAGUCAUUCGUAAAAAUAGUGUCGUUACGGAAGGAAUUAAUGGAAGUCUAAAUAAAUAAAUAGUUAUUUUUAUAGCAAUUGGAACUUUACAAAGUGUUUUUGACAAGUGAGUUGCAGUAGAGUUUAGUUAAAUUUAGACAUUUGUGACACAAUGAUUGAUUUUAAUUUCAUAAAUUUAAGAGAAAGGUGUAUUUUCAGUUGUUAAGUGAAGAGGACAUUGCAUUGUUGAAAAGGAGUAAAAUUGAGAGUCAGAAUUUGUUGCUGGGAAUUUGAGACAUUCGGUUUUUAAGUUUUUAAAUAUCUCACAAUGAAACUACCCCCGCCAUCCCCGGGUAAAAAUAUGUUGAAGACGCUGAUCAAGACUCCAGUGACCAGGGGGUUACAACCACCUUCCGGCCACGCAGUGCCUGAGAUAGUGACACCCACUCCAAGUAUUGCCCCCUCAAUUCCCUCAUCGGCGCAAUCCAUUGAGCAGAAACGAAUUCUAAUAAGGAAGCAGCUCGUCAUUCUGCUUCAUGCGAUUGUGUGCAGGCGAAGGGAACAUCGAAACAGAAUGAGGGAUCCGACAUUCUCAUCCCCGCCUUGCAACGUUCCUUUCUGCGGUCUCAUGAAGACUACUCAAAUUCACCUGAACGCUUGUAAAGAGGGAGAAGCGUGCAGAUUUAAUCACUGCGCUUCGUCAAGACAAAUCUUGAUUCACUGGAAAUACUGCGUAAAAGCAGAAUGUCCCGUGUGCGUAUCGCUAAGGAGAGUCGUUCCAACAAGCUUACUUCAGAUCUUUCCGAAUCCGUUGUGUCGAGCGGAGAUCAUGCAAAGAGUCGCCAGACAGCAGCAAGGUACCAAUCAUGGAGAAGACCAAGCGGUCCCGGAACUUAUGGAGUCCGAAGAAUGAUCAUCAUAACUGAAUUUACCGUUCCUGUAUUUAUUUACAAAAAGUGAUUUAUUUUUUGUGUACAUAUAAAUAUCCACAAUUCUUUACCACUUUUCUGACACGAAAUUUUCCAGUUUUUGUUGAAAAUGCUUUAAAAUCCAAUUAUAGUAGCGUUAUGAAUUAUAUUUGCUGUUGUAGUCAAGUUUUCGACAAAUUUAAUUUUCCUUUAUUUAUUGAUUCAGUUUUGAAAACGAUUGACUAAAUGCAAUUAAUGAAUAACAUGCCAACGUUUAUUUACAUUUAUCAACGUUUUCAACCUAACGGAAGCGAUUCCAAGAAACGAAUGUGUCAUAAAAAGUAUGAUUAUGAUAUUAUUUAUCAUUAAAUCAAUAGUUAUUAUUCAUGAAAAUGCAUCAUUUCCUACCAUUCAGUAAGUAAUACUGUAAGACAUGAGAUUUUGUAGAUCAAUUGUGUGUUCAAGGCGUGAAUUUUUAUGUAUCUAUCAUCUUAUUAUUAGAGAAGAAAAAGGCGUUUUAGUAUUAGAGAGAGAGAAAGCACUGAAUUAUGUAUCUGAUUUAUUGUACGGUUAUUGACCCAUGAUUUAAACAUUUCGUUCCAAAAUUACUUGAAAUGUAUGAAUAAAAUCCUUAUCGUGAACAUUCACUUUAAAGAUAAGAUUAUGAGA